UAGAGCUUCCAAAUCCAUAGCAGCCCAGCCGCUGGGCAGCUCCACGAGCUCAUCUCUCUAGGAAACUUCGCCCAUGGCACCAAAUUCUCUGCCCGGAGGUUUAAAUCUCCAAUUUAUUCGCGCACUUCCUUCAAUCCUGAUUCACGGCGCUGUAUCAUUCUCCAUUCGUACUUUCUUCGCUCGGGGAAAUAUUUGAGGAGUACAUUGCACAACUGAAAGAACGCACAAAAGAAACCGAAACUAAGCGAAAGGAGGAAAAGGUUUAUAUUUAACUUUAAGCAUAGAUAUUCAAUGAUGAUAACUUUUUUUAUGAGGGGAAAAAACUCAUGAGUAUAAAAUCCAUGCUGGUUACUUUUGGCUUGAAGUUCCAAUUUUGCCCUUCCACAAUCCCUUUAUAUUCAUUUCCAGUCCUUCUUCUUCCCCAUUUCUCUCAUAUGGCUCCCAAACUCUUAACCUCCAUCUUCACAUUUCUCUUCCUUUUCUUCUCCUUUGUCUCCUCGGUAACCACCAUUGGCGCUCGGCCUGUGCCUGUGCCUGGCUUUUCAAACGCUUUUCCCGGGACUUCUCGAGACGAGUUGAAGGCUGGGGAUGAUGCUUUGGAGGAGGAGAGUUGUGAAGAAAUUGGAGAAGAAUAUUGCUUGAUGAGGAAAACUCUUGCAGCCCAUGCUGAUUAUAUCUACACAGAUAGCCAGAGGAAGCCAUGAGAUUAUUUACAUAGAAUUAGUGACAAAAGGAAGAGAUUCUUCUGUAAGUUUGGGAAAUUAUAUUAGUGUAAUUAUGUUUAAUUUUUGACUAAUUGUUAACUUUUAUAUAAUCCAGGUUAAAGGAACUAGAUUUACUAAGUUUCUUCGGGUCACGAUAUCAUAAUUAUGUAUCAUAAUUUGAUUAGCCUAAAGUAAUCAUUUCUAAGUAUUCACAUUACCUAUCAUGGAUUGAAAAUCUUUCGGUAUGUCGAGAGGACA